rnacentral:sRNA from 1 species
GAAUCAUCAAUACAAGUUCUCUAAGUUUGAAUAUCAUAUAUGCUUAAAGUUGGCGAGUCUAAGGUAUUUUCAAAUGAAAUUACUAUUCUCUAAAGCUAUAUGGUUUAUUACCAUUGCUUCAUAAUCAUGUGUAACAAGGAUGUUGCUAGGCCUCAUAUCUCGGUGUAUUAUAUUGUUCUGAUGCAAGUACAACAAGCCUCUUGCAGCUCCAAUAGCUACUUUGAUCCUUUCUUUCCAAAGAGCCAUUGCAAAUAAAUUCAUACACCAGAAGCCUGUUAUUUCCUUCUGAACAAGAUCCACGCAGCAUGACCACAUUCUCAUGUAUAGCUCUGCUGAGUGCAUUGACCUCAGAUUUGAAUUCCUUCUCUCCUUGGAGGCUUGCACACUUAUGUUGCUUAACAGCAAUCCUUAAUCCUCCUUGCAGCCUUCCUUUGUAGACAGAACCAAAUCCUCCUUCGGACAAAUAGUUUUUUGGUGAAAAACCUUGUGUAGCUUCAUGCAGCUCUGCGUAUGUGAAUUCUUUCAUCACUUCAAAUUUUGGUCUUCUGUUCUUGCACACUGAGCAAACAGAAUUUUUGAAUUGUUCAACUAUUUGAUAUGCUUCAGGGUUGUUGCUAUGUUCUGCUGGUGUUUCUAUGUUAUACUCUUCAGUAUGAUUAGUCUUUUGAGUAUCAGUAAUGGAUAGUAGGCAAUACCCUCUUUCCAUGUCUUGUACUCUAUUUUCAGGGAUUUGUUUUAUUUGAGAAUAAAGUUGGGGUUGGGGGCAACCACCCUUUGCAAGAGUAGGAAAGGAAGAGCUGGUAUUGGAGCAGGAAUUUGUCACUUGCCGUAUUCUUGGGGGAGAUUUAGAAUUAGGACCUGGUUCACACACCAUUGCAUCAACUUUUCAAUAUCCUUGAAUUCUCCUUAAAUGAAUUGAAAUAUGGUGGACAUACUCAAAAAGAA